rnacentral:rRNA from 1 species
CCCCUAGAUGUUCUGGGCCGCACGCGCGCUACACUGAACAGUUCAACAAGUCUUAACCUUGGCCGAUAGGUCUGGGUAAUCUUUGAACGCUGUUCGUGAUUGGGAUAGACCUUUGCAAUUAUGGGUCUUCAACGAGGAAUUCCUAGUAAACGCAAGUCAUCAGCUUGCAUUGAUUACGUCCCUGCCCUUUGUACACACCGCCCGUCGCACCUACCGAUUGAAUGGUCCGGUGAAAUCUCGGGACGGCGGCUUGGUCGCUUGCGUCCGACUGCUGAAACUUGAUUAAACCUUAUCAUUUAGAGGAAGGUGAAGUCGUANCA